UAAUACUUGUUAAGUCGAGCGGACAGUACUCAGGAGCUUGCUCCCUGAUGUUAGCGGCGGACGGGUGAGUAACACGUGGGUAACCUGCCUGUAAGACUGGGAUAACUCCGGGAAACCGGGGCUAAUACCGGAUGGUUGUCUGAACCGCAUGGUUCAGACAUAAAAGGUGGCUUCGGCUACCACUUACAGAUGGACCCGCGGCGCAUUAGCUAGUUGGUGAGGUAACGGCUCACCAAGGCGACGAUGCGUAGCCGACCUGAGAGGGUGAUCGGCCACACUGGGACUGAGACACGGCCCAGACUCCUACGGGAGGCAGCAGUAGGGAAUCUUCCGCAAUGGACGAAAGUCUGACGGAGCAACGCCGCGUGAGUGAUGAAGGUUUUCGGAUCGUAAAGCUCUGUUGUUAGGGAAGAACAAGUGCCGUUCAAAUAGGGCGGCACCUUGACGGUACCUAACCAGAAAGCCACGGCUAACUACGUGCCAGCAGCCGCGGUAAUACGUAGGUGGCAAGCGUUGUCCGGAAUUAUUGGGCGUAAAGGGCUCGCAGGCGGUUUCUUAAGUCUGAUGUGAAAGCCCCCGGCUCAACCGGGGAGGGUCAUUGGAAACUGGGGAACUUGAGUGCAGAAGAGGAGAGUGGAAUUCCACGUGUAGCGGUGAAAUGCGUAGAGAUGUGGAGGAACACCAGUGGCGAAGGCGACUCUCUGGUCUGUAACUGACGCUGAGGAGCGACCGUAUGCCACUC
rnacentral:rRNA from 1 species